CCUACGGGCGGCAGCAGUGAGGAAUAUUGGUCAAUGGGCGCGAGCCUGAACCAGCCAAGUAGCGUGAAGGAUGACUGCCCUACGGGUUGUAAACUUCUUUUAUAAAGGAAUAAAGUUAGGCACGUGUGCCUUUUUGUAUGUACUUUAUGAAUAAGGAUCGGCUAACUCCGUGCCAACAGCCGGGGUUAUACGGGGGAUCCGAGCGUUUUCCGGAUUUAUUGGGGUUAAAGGGAGCGUAGAGGGGUUGUUAAGGCCGUUGGGAAAGUUUGCGGCUCAACCGUAAAAUUGCAAUUGAUACUGGCAGCCUUGAGUACAGUUGAGGUAGGCGGAAUGCGUGGUGUAGCGGUGAAAUGCUUAGAUAUCACGAAGAACCCCGAUUGCGAAGGCAGCCUACUAAACUGCCACUGACAUUGAUGCUCGAAAGUGUGGGUAUCAAACAGGAUUAGAUACCCGAGUAGUC
rnacentral:rRNA from 1 species